GCGUGCUUAACACAUGCAAGUCGAACGGUGAACACGGAGCUUGCUCUGUGGGAUCAGUGGCGAACGGGUGAGUAACACGUGAGCAACCUGCCCCUGACUCUGGGAUAAGCGCUGGAAACGGCGUCUAAUACUGGAUAUGUGACGUGACCGCAUGGUCUGCGUUUGGAAAGAUUUUUCGGUUGGGGAGGGGCUCGCGGCCUAUCAGCUUGUUGGUGAGGUAAUGGCUCACCAAGGCGUCGACGGGUAGCCGGCCUGAGAGGGUGACCGGCCACACUGGGACUGAGACACGGCCCAGACUCCUACGGGAGGCAGCAGUGGGGAAUAUUGCACAAUGGGCGAAAGCCUGAUGCAGCAACGCCGCGUGAGGGAUGACGGCCUUCGGGUUGUAAACCUCUUUUAGCAGGGAAGAAGCGAAAGUGACGGUACCUGCAGAAAAAGCGCCGGCUAACUACGUGCCAGCAGCCGCGGUAAUACGUAGGGCGCAAGCGUUAUCCGGAAUUAUUGGGCGUAAAGAGCUCGUAGGCGGUUUGUCGCGUCUGCUGUGAAAUCCCGAGGCUCAACCUCGGGCCUGCAGUGGGUACGGGCAGACUAGAGUGCGGUAGGGGAGAUUGGAAUUCCUGGUGUAGCGGUGGAAUGCGCAGAUAUCAGGAGGAACACCGAUGGCGAAGGCAGAUCUCUGGGCCGUAACUGACGCUGAGGAGCGAAAGGGUGGGGAGCAAACAGGCUUAGAUACCCUGGUAGUCCACCCCGUAAACGUUGGGAACUAGUUGUGGGGUCCAUUCCACGGAUUCCGUGACGCAGCUAACGCAUUAAGUUCCCCGCCUGGGGAGUACGGCCGCAAGGCUAAAACUCAAAGGAAUUGACGGGGACCCGCACAAGCGGCGGAGCAUGCGGAUUAAUUCGAUGCAACGCGAAGAACCUUACCAAGGCUUGACAUAUACGAGAACGGGCCAGAAAUGGUCAAC
rnacentral:rRNA from 1 species